rnacentral:rRNA from 1 species
ACGGCAAACUCUGUGCCAGCAGCCGCGGUAAUAAAGAGGUCCCAAGCGUUGUUCGGAUUCAUUGGGCGUAAAGGGUGCUUAGGCGGCGUGGUAAGUCAAAUGUGAAAUUACGGAGCUCAACUCCGUACUGCAUUCGAUACUGCCAUGCUAGAGGACUGGAGAGGAGACUGGAAUUCACGGUGUAGCAGUGAAAUGCGUAGAUAUCGUGAGGAAGACCAGUGGCGAAGGCGAGUCUCUGGACAGCUCCUGACGCUGAGGCACGAAGGCCAGGGUAGCGAACGGGAUUAGAUACCCCGGUAGUCCUGGCAGUAAACGUUGCACGUUUGGUGUGGGAGGAUUCGACCCCUUCCGUGCCGGAGCUAACGCGUUAAACGUGCCGCCUGGGGAGUACGGUCGCAAGAUUAAAACUCAAAGAAAUUGACGGGGGCCCGCACAAGCGGUGGAGUAUGUGGCUUAAUUCGAUGCAACGCGAAGAACCUUACCCAGCCUUGACAUGCAUUUCUAAACCGGUGAAAGCCGGCGAGUCUUCGGACAACUUGCACAGGUGCUGCAUGGCUGUCGUCAGCUCGUGUCGUGAGAUGUUGGGUUAAGUCCCGCAACGAGCGCAACCCCUGUGAACUGUUGCUAUCCUUUUGGAGCACUCUGUUCAGACUGCCCUGUCAAACGGGGAGGAAGGUGGGGGCGACGUCAAGUCUGUUAUGGCCAUUAUGGCUGGGGCUGCACACGUACUACAAUGCCCAGUACAAUGUGAACCGAAACCGCGAGGUGGAGGGAAUCGAUAAAACUGGGCCCAGUUCGGAUUGGAGGCUGCAACUCGCCUCCAUGAAGCCGGAAUCGCUAGUAAUGGCGCAUCAGCUACGGCGCCGUGAUACGUUCCCGGGGCAUGUACACACCGCCCGUCACAUCAUGGAAGUCGCU